rnacentral:rRNA from 1 species
CAGAAUUUCCCCUAUAACUGCGAGUGAAGCGGGAAAAGCUCAAAUUUAAAAUCUGGUAGUCUGUUGGCUACCCGAGUUGUAAUCUAGAGAAGUGUUAUCCGCGCUGGACCAUGUACAAGUCUCCUGGAAUGGAGCGUCAUAGAGGGUGAGAAUCCCGUCUUUGACAUGGACUACCAGGGCUUUGUGAUACACUCUCAAAGAGUCGAGUUGUUUGGGAAUGCAGCUCUAAAUGGGUGGUAAAUUCCAUCUAAAGCUAAAUAUUGGCGAGAGACCGAUAGUGAACAAGUACCGUGAGGGAAAGAUGAAAAGAACUUUGGAAAGAGAGUUAAACAGUACGUGAAAUUGUUGAAAGGGAAACGCUUGAAGUCAGUCGCGUUGGCCAGGGAUCAAUCUUGCUUUUGUGCUUGGUGUAAUUUCUGGUUGAUGGGUCAGCAUCAGUUUUAACCAGUAGAAAAAAGUUAGGGAAAUGUGGCAUCUUCAGAUGUGUUAUAGUCCUUGAUUGUAUAUAUUGGUUGGGAUUGAGGUACUCAGCACGCCGCAAGGUCGGGUUUUUUUUAACCACGUYCGUGCUUAGGAUGCUGGCAUUAAUGGCUUUAAUCGACCCGUCUUGAAACACGGACCAAGGAGUCUAACAUACCUGCGAGUGUUUGGGUGGAAAACCCAAGUGCGUAAUGAAAGUGAAAGUUGGGAUCCUUGUCAUGGGGAGCACCGACGCCUGGACCAGACCUUCUGUGAUGGAUCCACGGUAGAGCAUGUAUGUUGGGACCCGAAAGAUGGUGAACUAUGCCUGAAUAGGGUGAAGCCAGAGGAAACUCUGGUGGAGGCUCGUAGCGAUUCUGACGUGCAAAUCGAUCGUCGAAUUUGGGUACA